AACGGAGGGGGCAAGCGUUAUUCAUCCUUAUUGGGCGUAAAGGGUAUGUAGGUGAUGAAAAGUAUUUUUAUAAAAUAUCAAAUAUUCUUUUGAUGCAGGUGAAAAUAUUGAUCAAUUUGAGAUGGUAGGGGUUGGCGGUAUUACUAAUGUAAAGGUAAAAUUUUACGAUAUUAGUACGAAUACCAGAGGCGCAGGCGGCUUUCUUUGACAUCUGACACUGAGAUACUAAAGCAUGGGGAUCAAACAGG
rnacentral:rRNA from 1 species